ACAAGAAGUUUGUUUAUUUAUUGUUUGUUUCCAUAGAAUAAACAAUCAGAGGCAGAGGCAGAGGCAGAGGCAGAGGCAGAGGCAGAGGCAGAGGAGGCGACGCGCGGCUCGGGCGGGCGCUGUGCGGUGGCAGUGACGCACGGCUCUGCGCGCGCCCUGGAGACGCGUGAACGCGCGAGCGUCCUCCGGCCGGCCCCUUCCUCGUCGUCCUCGUCGUCCUCGUCGUCCUCGUCGUCGCUUUUCCCGUGGCGGUGGCGGUGAAUCGAGAGAGGAAGCGGUCCUGGGGCACGGCUCGGGGCUCUCAGGGCUUCCUUGGAGUUGCUGGGAGCGUCUGCUGUUAGCAGCAGUUGCUGCGGGAACUCUCCCGUGCUUUCAGCACUCGACCUCCGUUGUACUCUUGAGGGCUUCACCCGACGGCUGCGGGCUGCGGGCUGUGGAUGCGAUGGCAGUGGAUGCAAGUGAGCAGUCCCGUGAGAAGCUCCUUGUUUGCCAAGUUCCUGCCGUGAGGCUGUAGGACCGAGGCCCUCUUUAGCGCACCGCUACAGAGCCAUAGGAAUCUGGGAUGCUUCUGCACAC
rnacentral:lncRNA from 7 species